rnacentral:tRNA from 1 species
GCGGGUAUGGCGGAAUUGGCAGACGCGCAGGAUUUAGGUUCCUGUGUCCUUGACGUAAGGGUUCGAGCCCCUUUACCCGCACCA